AUACGGAGGAUCCGAGCGUUAUCCGGAUUUAUUGGGUUUAAAGGGUGCGCAGGCGGCCAUUUAAGUCAGCGGUUAAAUCGUGGGGCUCAACCCCAUUCUGCCGUUGAUACUGGGUGGCUUGAUUGCGGUCGAGGUUGGCGGAAUUCGUUGUGUAGCGGUGAAAUGCAUAGAUAGGACGAAGAACACCGAUUGCGUAGGCCGGUGAACAGGACGCAAAAGGAGCUCAUGCCCGAAAGUGUGGGGAUCGAACAGGAUUAGAUACCCUGGUAGUCCGCACAGUAAACGAUGAAUACUUGUUUUCGGCGAUAUAAUGUCGGAGGCAAAGCGAAAGCGAUAAGUAUUCCACCUGGGGAGUACGCCGGCAACGGUGAAACUUAAAGGAAUUGACGGGG
rnacentral:rRNA from 1 species